UACAGAGGGUGCGAGCGUUAAUCGGAAUUACUGGGCGUAAAGCGUGCGUAGACGGUUAUGUAAGUCGGAUGUGAAAGCCCCGGGCUCAACCUGGGAAUUGCAUUUGUGACUGCACGGCUAGAGUGUGUCAGAGGGGGGUAGAAUUCCACGUGUAGCAGUGAAAUGCGUAGAGAUGUGGAGGAAUACCGAUGGCGAAGGCAGCCCCCUGGGAUAACACUGACGCUCAUGCACGAAAGCGUGGGGAGCAAACAGG
rnacentral:rRNA from 1 species